AUGCAACUUGUAUAUCACAGUACCUUGGAAUUGGGCGGCACAAACAACUAUUACUUGUACAAAACCUCCCUGAAAACGACUAAAUGGAAAAGCAGAUGGCUUGAAACAAGGAAUAAGUUUGUCUUUUUAAAAAGCGUUUUUCACAAUUCAGUCGAGAUAUGGGGAGGGUUUCCCCACUUGUGGCUCUGCACAGCGUGCGCGCGCGUCUGUCCUGGGGUCCCCUCCCUGCGGGGACGAGGCCGGGGUCCCUGCGCGAGCCCAGCGGACCCGGGCAGUGCAGGGGUCCGGCCGCCGGCCGCAGGGGCACAGGGACAGCAGCCGCCAAAUCCGCGGGGCCGGGGGGUCAAGGAGACUAUCCUUUCCGCGUUAGCCGGGGCCACCCCCGCCAGAGGGAAGGCACCAAAGGAAAAACCAGGACAGGGACACUGGGGGCGGGAGGAGCGCCCGCCUGCAGGCACCAGUGGAGGGGCGCGGGGGGUAGGGAUCAGGGAUCCGCGCCCCGCCCGCCCCACGACCCCGGCCCGGCGCCCCACCCCUUGGAACCCCCACUUAGUGCCCGGCCCCCGCCCCACCCCGCGCGGCCCCCGGCCUCAGUCCUGCGCGCCCCGACGCCCCGCCUGCGCCGCGGGCCCGAGUAGUGGGCGCGGGGCGGCCCGCUCGGCUCCUCGGCACCCGCUCCCCGCUCGGGCCGAGGCGCCGCGGCUGCGCGCCCCUCCUGGAGGAGGAGGAGGAGGAAGGAGGCGGGAGGAGGAGUUGCAGAGAGAAGGCGAGCGCGGCAGUCGCGCCGGCGCUGGGCGAGGAAGCGGAGCCGGGCCGCCUCCGGCCUGCCUUGGUGCCUUGGAGGAAGCUGGUUGGUGGACAGCGGAUUUGAUAAGGAUUCCUGGAAGAACUUCUAUUUGGAGUUUGACCCGAGCUUGCUUUCCGCUUGUGCCUGGAAAAUGGCUCCAAAGGUUAAAUGAAGCAGGAAAAAUACAUAGAUGCAGCCUUGCAGCCUCUCCAGAUGUUUGGGGAUAAUAUUCCAGAUAGAAAUUUUGAUCCCUU
ensembl:lncRNA